UACGGGGGGGGCAAGCGUUGUUCGGAAUUACUGGGCGUAAAGGGCUCGUAGGUGGCCAACUAAGUCAGACGUGAAAUCCCUCGGCUUAACCGGGGAACUGCGUUUCUAACUGGCAGGCUUGAGUGUGGCAGAGGGGGGUGGAAUUCCACGUGUAGCAGUGAAAUGCGUAGAGAUGUGGAGGAACACCGAUGGCGAAGGCAGCCCCCUGGGCUAACACUGACGCUCAUGCACGAAAGCGUGGGGAGCAAACAGG
rnacentral:rRNA from 1 species